GAAGCUCUUUGAUCUUCUUAUGAAGCUGAGCAGCCAGACUCUGCUCAUCCUCCACUUUUGACUGAAGCUGCACCAACUCAAAGUCUUUCCUUUAGAGAAGGGGGAAGAGAGAGAAAAGCAUCGAUGGUCCCGCACUGAGUCCAUGGACAGCUUCAGAUCCCCCUCUAAUUUCCGUUUGGUUCGUUCCAGAUCGGUCCGCACCUUCUUCUCCAGCUCCAGCGAAGUCUCAACCUGCACAUGAGUUAGAAACCAGUAAUAACAGUAGAGAACAUUACAGGUCUUUUCUGGACCAGUGCGUGCUAAACAAGCUUUCAAAAGUUGGUUGCAGAAAUUCUGAAAGUGCCAAAAUCUGCCAAAAGCCCAAACCUGUGAUGUCCACUUGAAGCUGGCUCCAAAACCAGGGUCAUCUCCAGGUCAUCCACGUCUCUCUUCAGCGAUAACACCUCGUCCUCCAGCUGACGCUUCUUGGACGUCAGCGUGGAGCUCACCUCCUCCUCGUCCUCCAGGCGCUCCUGCAUCUCCUUCAGCUUUG